GUGAUAGUUGAGCGAAGGAUGGAUUGACAUGGGGAAAGACUUAAAGCAGGGAGGCCAACAAGUAGGCUGUCAAAGUGGUCCAGGUGUGAGGUGAUGGAAGCCUUCUCUGGGUGGCAGAAGUACCAGAAGAAAGAACAAAGAGGGCAAAAGCAGGAUAUGUUCUGAAGGUAGAAAACAACAAGAUUGGACAACGAAUAGGAUAGAGAGUGAGGAGCUGAGUUAUUCACUGGAGUUAUUCAAGCAGGAACCGGACAGGCAUUUUUCAGGGAUACUGUAAAAGGGACUCCAACGUUGGGUGAUCAGAUCAGAUUAGAUGUGAUUUCUGAAUCUCCUCUCAGCUCUGAGAUCCCAGGAUUCUAUGGUCCUAUGAGCCAAAAGUCCUAUACUUUGAAGACUGGUACCUACUGGUUUCAGUGGCUACUUCUAUGAGUUGGCAUCCAUGAAUUUAAGAUUCUAGAAUUCUCUGAUUCUUUGAGAAAAAGACCAGUGAGUUCUCUCAUUUUAUGGGCCCAGAAUUCUAUUAUUCUCUGAGUCUGUGUUUCUGAGAUUCUGGAGGGCCUUAUGUUACCACAUACCUCUUGCUCUUUUGACUAUAGCACCUGGAGGUAAAGAUGAAGGUCCAUGGUCAAACAAUGAGCCAGUUGAGUGAUUGCUUCAUUCUCUCUCUCUCUCUCUCUAGGUCAGGGAUACUGGUAGGGUUGGACAUGCCAAGAAGGCAUGCCAGGACUGGAGAGAGGAGCUCUUGCUUCCCAGGCUGCAACAUUCAGAUGUCAGAAGUCAAGGAAGGUAUUCAGCAUGCAGGGUGGAUGUCCAGUGAUGAACUUAAAAGAAGAGAGAGGACAAGAAGAACCCAGGAAAGGGAAGCUUGAGUGGUUAUGAUCUGCCUUGUCAAAAAAGACAUCAGCAUCAUUGAGACUCCAUCUGAGUAACAAUAACUGAGAUUUAUAUGGCACUUAAAAGUUUGCAAAGCACUCUCCAUGAUCUCUUACAUUUGACCAUCACAACAACUCUAGGAGGUAAAAGCUAUGGGCAUUAUACCCAUUUUAUAAGUGAGGAAGCUAAGAUUGAGAUAAGGGUCUCUCAGCUAGGGACUGUCUGGAGCAAAACUUAAACUCAUGUUCAGGAAUCCAAGUCCUGUGCUAUAUGUCUAUCUUCCAUUUGAUGACCCUUCAAAUACCCUGGCUUCCUCAACGACCAUGGCCUCUAUCUCUAAGGGGGUGGUCAAACUUUGGACUUCAAUCACUCAAAACCAUUCCAUAUCCAAGAUCUUGAACUCUGAAAUUUCCCUCACAAUUACAAACUACUAUCCUUCUCCUUUCCCCUUGUCUCUCUCUCCUCCUAAAACUGUUUUUUGUCUUUAGGAAGAAUUUUGGUCCCUCAAUCCUUCCGCAUCUAUUCUUCCUUGUUUUCCCAGUUCAUUGUUUUAGCCUUACUUUCCACCUUCCACAGUCUAGACCCUAUCUCUAGCUGACCAGGUAAACAACUGUGCACCGCACUCCACUGGACCCUUCCUUCCCUAUUCAGGUCCUGCUAAUCUUCAGCUGAAUUUCACCUCCACUCAUUCUCUUCUCUGCCACCAUUCUGAGUCACUGAAAUCUACAGGAAGUCAUGAAAUCAAGUAGUCUGGAUGAUUUGGGAUCCAUGCCACCCACUCACAACCUGGCUUCACCACUCCAGAGUAAUCUUUGAUUAACUCCCUAUAAUGCUCAUUUUUCCCAAUGACUUGGAUAAAGGUUAAAUGAUAUGUUUAUUCAUAUUGCACAUGAGAGAAAGGUAGGAGGUUUAGUCAGCUUGUUAGAUGAGAGAUUAAGAUCCAAAAAGAUCUUGACAGGAUAGAACAUAGGCUAAAUCUAUUAAAUUAGAUGUUUAUAGAUAAACACAUUUCGAAUCUUAAACUCUUCCCUUUAAUUAAAGUCUAAUAAGUUUCAUAUUAAGCCUCUAUUAAAUCAUAAUUGAGUCUACUGACUGAUUGGUAAAGGGAAUUGCCCUAGCAGAGGUUCCAAUGUUAGGAAGAUAGUCACUCCAAAGGUUACCUCCCCAUUACCAGAUAUGUGUGUAUGUAUUAUAUAUCUUAUAAAGUAGAGUAGUGAUAGUAUGUGCCUGGAGGGGAGAGAAGAGACAGACUUUCUUUUCAAAGAUAACCUUUCUGCUUGAAUUGCUAUGCAUGGGGAGCAGAGUUGGGAAGGUAGAGGAAUCCUAACUGACCUGAACAGAUUUAUCUGUAGGUCAAAGGAGAGAGACUUGCUGCAUCCUUUGAGAGGGGAAAGAUCUUUGAAGGCCAUCAAUUCAAAUUAUGUUAAAAAUUACUCAUCCCUUAAAAAUGAAUAAAAGAAACAAUUGAUAAAUUAUUCCUUAAAAA
rnacentral:lncRNA from 1 species